rnacentral:rRNA from 1 species
UUUUAUUGAAGCUUCGACAGAUUUAGCUGGUUUCUAGUGGCGGACGGGUGAGUAACGCGUGGGUAACCUGCCCUAUACAGGGGGAUAACAACCAGAAAUGGUUGCUAAUACCGCAUAAGCGCACAGGACCGCAUGGUCCGGUGUGAAAAACUCCGGUGGUAUAGGAUGGACCCGCGUUGGAUUAGCCAGUUGGCAGGGUAACGGCCUACCAAAGCGACGAUCCAUAGCCGGCCUGAGAGGGUGAACGGCCACAUUGGGACUGAGACACGGCCCAGACUCCUACGGGAGGCAGCAGUGGGGAAUAUUGCACAAUGGGGGAAACCCUGAUGCAGCGACGCCGCGUGAAGGAAGAAGUAUCUCGGUAUGUAAACUUCUAUCAGCAGGGAAGAUAGUGACGGUACCUGACUAAGAAGCCCCGGCUAACUACGUGCCAGCAGCCGCGGUAAUACGUAGGGGGCAAGCGUUAUCCGGAUUUACUGGGUGUAAAGGGAGCGUAGACGGAUUAGCAAGUCUGAUGUGAAAGGCAGGGGCUCAACCCCUGGACUGCAUUGGAAACUGCCAGUCUUGAGUGCCGGAGAGGUAAGCGGGAUUCCUAGUGUAGCGGUGAAAUGCGUAGAUAUUAGGAGGAACACCAGUGGCGAA